GGUGAUAAGGAUCUGAUGUUCUUUGGAGAUGGUAUCCUCCAGUUGUUGGAUCCUAGAGAUCAGGCACAACUCAGUGAAAUCACUGAUUGUGACCAUCUCGUGGUGGGUCUCCUCUUGGCUCUUUAUUAAAGCAGCCAGAGAAUCCCUCUGUGUCUUCAGCAGUUUGUGUUCUGCUUCCAACUGCUGCCAGGUCUGGUUGUUGACCGUGAGUUCAGCACUUUUGACAGAAAGUUGUUUUGUGGUCUCUGUGAGCUUCAGAGAUAAACCCUCGUUCUCCCUGAUAGUCUCAUCCAGAGCCUCUGUCUUGAUCUUCAGCAGUUUGUGUUCUGCUUCCAACUGUUGGUUGUUGGCCUGCUGCUUGUGCAGCUUCUCUUGAAGAGAAAUGUUGGUGGAGAGUAACCCUGUUACUUUAGACUCCAAUGACUGUUGUUGGUCAUCCAGUUUCUUGGUUGUCUUUUUCUCCAGAUCUUCAUAUUUCUGCUGCCAGGUCUGGUUGUUGACCGUGAGUUCAGCACUUUUGACAGAAAGUUCUUUUGUGGUCUCUGUGAGCUUCAGAGAUAAACCCUCGUUCUCUCUGAUAGUCUCAUCCAGAGCCUCUGUCUUGAUCUUCAGCAGUUUGUGUUCUGCUUCCAACUGUUGGUUGUUGGCCUGCUGCUUGUGCAGCUUCUCUUGAAGAGAAAUGUUGG
ensembl:lncRNA